UACAGAGGGGGCAAGCGUUGUUCGGAAUUACUGGGCGUAAAGGGCGCGUAGGCGGCCUCUUAAGUCGAACGUGAAAUCCCCGGGCUCAACCCGGGAACUGCGUCCGAUACUGGGGGGCUUGAAUCCGGGAGAGGAUGGUGGAAUUCCCAGUGUAGAGGUGAAAUUCGUAGAUAUUGGGAAGAACACCGAUGGCGAAGGCAGCCAUCUGGACCGACACUGACGCUGAGGCGCGAAAGCGUGGGGAGCAAACAGG
rnacentral:rRNA from 1 species